AAGUUUUGCGCGGCGAAUUGUAGUCUAUAGAGGCGUGAUCAGUGUGGGCGCUUGGGGCAAGUUCCUUGGAAGAGGACAGCAUGGAGGGUGAUACUCCCGUUCAUCCCUGAGUUGCUCGUGCGUACGAUCCGUUUUCUUUGAGUCGCGUUGUUUGGGAAUG